ensembl:lncRNA
AUGAAGAAAACAGAUGCCAAGACUGGGGAGCAGCUUGGUGGUAGAGCAUGUGCUCAGCAUGCACGAGGUCCUGUGGUCAAUCCCUAGCGCCCAAGCAGCGUGAAGAAAACAGGCACUGAACUGACAGGAGAACUUUGCGAGGAUUGUAUCCAGUCUCAUCUUAGGGAGAAUUCAAACCAGGCAAGGGUUAUAGAAGAAAACUACCUUGAUAGUCAAAGAGUCAGAAGGGCCAAGGGUCAACACGUUCCUGGAAUAUAGACUGUCAAGUGGUGUCCACACUUGGACCUGGAGGGAAGAAGAGGAGCCCAAAGAGAACCUUCAGGCCAGCCACAGCCUUAGCCUUUAGAGAAGGGUCGUCCUCCUCUCACAGAGUGGACCUCCAGGAAAUGCUUUGCCUUUACCUAUGCUGCACAACGCUGGGGCUCUGCAGGGAUCACAACCAACUCUCCAGUCCAGGCCACCUGUCAGGUCCAAGUUCACCACAAUCAGCUUCCAAUUUGGGUCAAGUAGAACCUGACUUAGAGGAAGAAUUUGAAAAGGAUCUCAAAGCGUGUUCAUAAAGCCAGUAAAGAAGUUUCCGGCUCCUCCUUAACCCCUCUCUGAAUCUCAACCUCAGGAUCCAGGUGGUUGGGCCCUAGGUGGGUCAGUUGUGUUAUAUAAG